CCUACGGGUGGCAGCAGUAGGGAAUUUUCGUCAAUGGGCGCAAGCCUGAACGAGCAAUGCCGCGUGAACGAGGAAGGUCUUCGGAUCGUAAAGUUCUGUUGAAGGGGAAAAAGAGCGGAGAGAGGAAAUGCUUUCUGAUUUAUAUUACCCUUCGAGGAAGCUCCGGCUAACUACGUGCCAGCAGCCGCGGUAAUACGUAGGGAGCAAGCGUUGUCCGGAUUUACUGGGUGUAAAGGGUGCGUAGGCGGCCCUGCAAGUCAGAAGUGAAAUGCAUGGGCUUAACCCGUGAACUGCUUUUGAAACUGUAGGGCUUGAGUGAAGUAGAGGCAGGCGGAAUUCGCGGUGUAGCGGUGAAAUGCGUAGAGAUCGGGAGGAACACCAGUGGCGAAGGCGGCCUGCUGGGCUUUAACUGACGCUGAAGCACGAAAGCGUGGGUAGCAAACAGGAUUAGAUACCCGAGUAGUC
rnacentral:rRNA from 1 species